AGAGUUUGAUCCUGGCUCAGGAUGAACGCUAGCGACAGGCUUAACACAUGCAAGUCGAGGGGCAGCACAGGGUAGCAAUACUUGGGUGGCGACCGGCGCACGGGUGAGUAACGCGUAUGCAACUUACCUAUCAGAGGGGGAUAGCCCGGCGAAAGUCGGAUUAAUACCCCAUGAAACAGGGGUCCCGCAUGGGAAUAUUUGUUAAAGAUUCAUCGCUGAUAGAUAGGCAUGCGUUCCAUUAGGCAGUUGGCGGGGUAACGGCCCACCAAACCGACGAUGGAUAGGGGUUCUGAGAGGAAGGUCCCCCACAUUGGAACUGAGACACGGUCCAAACUCCUACGGGAGGCAGCAGUGAGGAAUAUUGGUCAAUGGGCGAGAGCCUGAACCAGCCAAGUAGCGUGAAGGAUGACUGCCCUAUGGGUUGUAAACUUCUUUUAUAAAGGAAUAAAGUCGGGUAUGCAUACCCGUUUGCAUGUACUUUAUGAAUAAGGAUCGGCUAACUCCGUGCCAGCAGCCGCGGUAAUACGGAGGAUCCGAGCGUUAUCCGGAUUUAUUGGGUUUAAAGGGAGCGUAGGCGGGGUAUUAAGUCAGUUGUGAAAGUUUGCGGCUCAACCGUAAAAUUGCAGUUGAUACUGGUAUCCUUGAGUGCAGCAGAGGUGGGCGGAAUUCGUGGUGUAGCGGUGAAAUGCUUAGAUAUCACGAAGAACUCCGAUUGCGAAGGCAGCUCACUGGACUGCAACUGACACUGAUGCUCGAAAGUGUGGGUAUCAAACAGGAUUAGAUACCCUGGUAGUCCACACAGUAAACGAUGAAUACUCGCUGUUUGCGAUAUACAGUAAGCGGCCAAGCGAAAGCAUUAAGUAUUCCACCUGGGGAGUACGCCGGCAACGGUGAAACUCAAAGGAAUUGACGGGGGCCCGCACAAGCGGAGGA
rnacentral:rRNA from 1 species